UUCAAGAGGUUGUAGCUCAGGUGCCCAUGAGCCAAAGGGCCUUCAUUGUUGAAAAAGAUGUGUCGCCGGCAGACGCUGCUGUGCAAGGUGCUGCUUCUAUUGUUCUUGCGCCAACUGUCACCCAUCACGCGGGCACCACUACGACUGGUUUUGCCACAAGCGCCUUGGUGUCCUGAUGUCGCAGGGAAUUGUUGUGUGACCACAUCGUCAGCAAAGUAUGAAGCAUCAUCAUUUCCACCUCAUCCCCCCUCGCAAUUCUGGAUGGUGCAGCGUUCUCUAUUCAGCAAGAUGGAACAGUCAGUGAACAAAUCUGCGCAAUACUGUUGCAUGGUGGAAAUCAUACAGGUACCAUGGGUGUUAAGAAGUUUUGAUAUUUUUUCCAUGGGUGUUAUAAAUUCCAGAUGUAAAGAUAAUUAAAUGAAAUAAAGCUUCUCUGACAAUUUUUAUUUACACAAUAUG
rnacentral:lncRNA from 1 species